rnacentral:lncRNA from 1 species
AUAAUUCAUGAAUAAAGCCUUGGUAAGUCAAUUUUCCGCCUAUUUUGCCAUAGCCAGACUGUAUAAUUUUAAUUUUCUAGGUAAUGAAUUAUCAUCAAAGAAAGAAAAAAUCAUAAUUGAGCUCAUAUAGCAUAUUUUAUUUAAAUCAUAAAUGCGACAUAUUGCAUGCUUAAAUUGUUGGCAUGCAUACACAUUUAUGCAUUUUAUCCAUAAUUAAGUGUGUUAAGAAAAAAACUUGGCUAAUUUGUAAUAUUUAUAUUAUUUGACCCUAUACA